rnacentral:rRNA from 1 species
AGGCCUAACACAUGCAAGUCGAGCGGUAGCACAGAGAAGCUUGCUUCUUGGGUGACGAGCGGCGGACGGGUGAGUAACGCGUGGGAAUCUACCUGGUAGUGGGGGACAACAGUCGGAAACGACUGCUAAUACCGCAUACGCCCUUCGGGGGAAAGUGGGGGAUCUUCGGACCUCACGCUAUCAGAUGAGCCCGCGUCGGAUUAGCUUGUUGGUGAGGUAAAGGCUCACCAAGGCGAUGAUCCGUAGCUGGUCUGAGAGGAUGACCAGCCACACUGGGACUGAGACACGGCCCAGACUCCUACGGGAGGCAGCAGUGGGGAAUAUUGGACAAUGGGGGCAACCCUGAUCCAGCCAUGCCGCGUGUGUGAAGAAGGCCUUCGGGUUGUAAAGCACUUUCAGUAGGGAGGAA